UUAAGUAGUAACGCCAGUGUAAUGACAUGCGAUUUACACUCGGCUCACUACUUAUGA
rnacentral:pre_miRNA from 1 species